UACGUAGGUGGCAAGCGUUGUCCGGAUUUAUUGGGUUUAAAGGGUGCGUAGGCGUUCCUAUAAGUCAGUUGUGAAAUACGGCAGCUUAACUGUCGAGGUGCAAUUGAUACUGCAGGACUUGAGUACAGACGAGGUAGGCGGAAUUGACGGUGUAGCGGUGAAAUGCGUAGAGAUCGGCAAGAACACCGAUAGCGAAGGCAGCGUACUAGACUAUAACUGACGCUGAGGCACGAAAGUGUGGGGAUCAAACAGG
rnacentral:rRNA from 1 species